rnacentral:rRNA from 1 species
GACGAACGCUGGCGGCGUGCCUAAUACAUGCAAGUCGAGCGGAGUUGUUCCUUCGGGGACAGCUUAGCGGCGGACGGGUGAGUAACACGUAGGCAACCUGCCUGUAAGACCGGGAUAACAUUCGGAAACGAAUGCUAAUACCGGAUAUGCAACUUGGCUGCAUGGCCGAGUUGGGAAAGACGGUGCAAGCUGUCACUUACAGAUGGGCCUGCGGUGCAUUAGCUAGUUGGUGAGGUAACGGCUCACCAAGGCGACGAUGCACAGCCGACCCGAGAGGGUGAUCGGCCACACUGGGACUGAGACACGGCCCAGACUCCUACGGGAGGCAGCAGUAGGGAAUCUUCCGCAAUGGACGAAAGUCUGACGGAGCAACGCCGCGUGAGUGAUGAAGGUUUUCGGAUCGUAAAGCUCUGUUGCCAGGGAAGAACAGCCAGGAGAGUAACUGCUCCUGGAAUGACGGUACCUGAGAAGAAAGCCCCGGCUAACUACGUGCCAGCAGCCGCCGCCGUAA